rnacentral:rRNA from 1 species
UACAGAGGUCUCAAGCGUUGUUCGGAUUCAUUGGGCGUAAAGGGUGCGUAGGCGGCGCGGUAAGUCGGGUGUGAAAUUUCGAGGCUUAACUUCGAAACUGCAUUCGAUACUGCCGUGCUAGAGGACUGGAGAGGAGACUGGAAUUUACGGUGUAGCGGUGAAAUGCGUAGAUAUCGUAAGGAAGACCGGUGGCGAAGGCGGGUCUCUGGACAGUUCCUGACGCUGAGGCACGAAGGCCAGGGGAGCAAACGGG